CUUUGCAAUGAGUAUUAAAAAAUGUGAUUAAAAAGAUCAAGAAGCCACCAAGAGUCAUUACCUUCUGUAUACUGUCAGUGUUGGCAGGUACACAAGCCAGUGGUAUGAGCUAAGUGUUCAGCAAGUACAGGUAGUUCCUGAAAGUGAGGAUCCCGGGGAGCAUCACAAUACAAGGGCAUUUGAAAACUUUGAUUCUAGACCUGUCUAGUCCCUCUGCAUGGGUGGAGGAUGAGGAGAAGAGGACAAUAUAAUAGGGAAGAAAAUAGUGUAUGAAAAAGGAAGAAGAAAAAGUUGCUAACCACGCUUCACCAUGGGGCUGCGGAUCUAAUUGGACUUUGCUGGAGAACUGGGGGCUGACCUAUGAGUUCUGGAGGUCAAGAAGCUUAAGGUCAAUAUUCUAGCCCAUCCGGAACCAGACUUCUUCCUGGCUUCAGUCUGUGUUCAGGGAGAAAGAGAGCAAGAGCGAAAGUGCCAACAGGGUGGCCCGCGAUGUCUUUACCCAGUCUCAGCGUCUGGCCUAGGGAGAGGUGUGUGCACCAGACGCUCCAAGAGGACCGGGUGGAGCCCAGGACCCUUACGCGAGCCCAGCUGGCGCUGCUGUGCUGCAGCACGACUCCACCUUUGCUUCUUAACAUCAGAUAGCAGUGAGAUAACAGAGUGCCGCACAGUUAGCAGCCCUGCAGACGUACGUGGGAAGACGCUAAAAACCGUUCUCAUUGAGGGGAAGUAAUCCGAGAAGAAGCCUAGAUCUUCAGGAGAGCGCGAAGGUCUGCCUUUCACUGUGAGGUCUGUGUUUGCAUUUGUCAUUCUCCCUCGUUACGCUCAAGCCCGGAGAGAGCCUUCGUUUACCUUUGAUUCUCUGCAACAUACUCAAUAUCCAUGGAACCGGAAGAUUCCACUGGGCAAGUUAACAUUUCUUUUGAUUCUCAUUUCCAAGGGGUUCCGAGGUCCAAGGUCCAGGACC